CCUCGUGUUUCCGGCCACCAAUCCUCACCAAACUUCAUCCUUGAGCUCACCUCAACCUCCAGAAGCUCUCAAAAGUGUCCCUUCACGGUGGCGCUGUGCGUGGUGGCGGUUGGAAGCCAGACCCGAUCAAAAAUCGAAACCGAGCUUUCGACCCGGAUACCUCAAGCUAUAGACCACCAAUUCUUGUGAUUCUUGACCUGAAAGGAUAGCCUUGAGUUUCUGAACAAAUAUCCAGAAGGAAUCGAAGCGAUUUGUGGAAGUUUUUACGUAGAUCGGAGCACCUGCCGGAUUCUGGAAUUUUUCCGGCCACCGAAACUUUCGAUCAAGAUAUCUCGAGCUAUAGAGCUUAGUUUUGAGUGAUUCUUGAACCAGUGAGUUCGUCUUUAAGUUCUGAACAAGUCUCCUGAAGGAAUCGAAGCGAAAGGAGGACAUUUUUACGUUGAUCGGAGCUUCGCCGGUUUCUGCAAAUUCUCACCGGUUUCUGGAAAAAAAUUCCGGCCACCUCGACUGUUUUAGGUGAUUGACGGUCUUCCUUGGGUGAGCGGUUUCGGUGUGUAUUGUGUUGAAUUGAAGACGCAGCGGGAAUAUCGAGCGGGUAAUCCUGCAGGUCAGGAGAAUCAGGGCGGUGAUCGAGCGGGUUAGAGUAUUUGUUAUAGUUUUACAGCAUUUGUAAUAGUGAGGUGAGUUAAGCUCAUUGAGCCUUACAAUUUGAUUUGGUGAGAGUGUGUUGUAAUAAAUAACUUGAGGAUUUGAUUUAUUGUAAUAUUGAGAGGUGUGAAGUGUGGUUGUUUGUGAGAAAAAAAUUCAGGACGUUAAUUGUAAUUGUUAUUAUUCAU